GCCUGCAUAGUUUAGUGGCAGAACGUUGGUCUUGUAUUCCAUUUCCAGUUCCGUUUGUAAAUGUAAAAAAUGGGUUAUUUGGUUAACCAAAGGUCGUGAGUUCGAUUCUCACUGUAGGCA
rnacentral:tRNA from 1 species